rnacentral:rRNA from 1 species
GACGAAGGGGGCUAGCGUUGUUCGGAAUUACUGGGCGUAAAGCGCGUGUAGGCGGUUGCCCAAGUCGGGUGUGAAAGCCUUGAGCUCAACUCAAGAAAUGCACUCGGUACUGGGUGACUAGAGGACCGGAGAGGAUAGUGGAAUUCCCAGUGUAGUGGUGAAAUACGUAGAGAUGUGGAGGAACACCGAUGGCGAAGGCAGCCUUCUGGGCCAAUACUGACGCUCAUGCACGAAAGCGUGGGGAGCAAACAGG